GGAAUGCACUGAGUCACAGAACUUGGAGUCAGUUUGAGCUACAGGGGUGUUUCAGGGGUGCACAGAAGUUUCUAAAAUGCUUACCUACAUUUUAGUCAACAUUUGUUCUUCUGGCCUAAGCAGUAAAGAAUGACCAGGCAAUACUCUUUGAAAAUUGGAGACCAUUUGCAGCUGCUCUCUGCUGAGGAAAGUGAAUAAUAGGGUGCCCUCAAGGAAUUUCAAAGAGACUGGCAGGAUGAGAUGGCAGUUUUUUCUGAUGGCCCUGUUAAUACUUUUCACUAACAAGGAAAGGGGAAGGGAAUAAUUCUCUGCAAUAAUAUUGACUUCCUAUGUGAUCUUGGGUAAGUCACUGGACUAUUGUGUGCUCAGCUUCCUCAAGAAGAGAACAAUACUAUUUCUGUAGCUU
rnacentral:lncRNA from 12 species